rnacentral:tRNA from 1 species
GCGUCUGUGGCUCAAAUGGAUAGAGCGCUAGCUUCCGGAGCUAGAGGUUAUAGGUUCAAAUCCUAUCAGGCGCUCCA